UGAAAAGCACCCCGGGAGGGGAGUGAAAGAGAACCUGAAACCCUGUGCUUACAAGCACUUAGAGCACGUCAAAGUGUGAUAAGGUACCUAUUGUAGAAUGGUCCGGCGAGUUAUUGUAUGCAGCGAGGUUAAGUAGUUCAGCUACGGAGCCGAAGUGAGAGCGAGUGUUAACAGCACGUUCAGUUGCAUGCAAUAGACCCGAAACCGGGUGACCUAUCCAUGUCCAGGAUGAAGUGAGGGUAAAACCUCAUGGAGGUCCGAACCCACUCCCGUUGAAAUGGUAGGGGAUGAGGUGUGGAUAGCGGAGAAAUUCCAAUCGAACCCGGAUAUAGCUGGUUCUCCCCGAAAUAGUUUUAGGACUAGCCUCGUGAUUAAGAUUAUCGGAGGUAAAGCACUGAAUGGCCUAGGGGUCGAGAGAUUACCGAAGCCUAUCAAACUCUGAAUGCCGAAUAAUCAUGCACGGGAGUCAGACUGUGUGAGAUAAGUUUCAUAGUCGAAAGGGAAACAGCCCAGACCUACAGCUAAGGUCCCAAAGUACGUUUAAGUGGAAAACGAUGUGAAAUUGCGUAGACAACCAGGAUGUUGGCUUAGAAGCAGCCAUACAUUAAAAGAGUGCGUAAUAGCUCACUGGUCGAGUGACUUUGCGCGGAAAAUUUAACGGGGCUAAAACGUACACCGAAGCUUAGGCUUGCAACUAUGUUGCAGGGGUAGGGGAGCGUUGAAUGAGGGGUGAAGUCGUAGCGAAAGCGACGGUGGACUUCAUUCAAGUGAGAAUGCCGGAAUGAGUAGCGAGAAUUAUGUGAGAAUCAUAAUGGCCGAAAGCCUAAGGUUUUUGGAGGAAGGUUCGUCCGCUCCAAGUAAGUCGGAAGCUAAGGUGAGGCUGAAAAGCGUAGCCGAUGCACAAACGGUUGAAAUUCCGUUACCACAGAAAGAUUUAAACUAAGGGACACUUUUGAAGAGCUGAUGCUGGGUGUUGGUUACCCCGGUCGUAAGGGAACGAAAUUAAGUAGUGAAGUCAGCGUGGAUGAAGGCGAGAAAAGCUUAGUGUAUAUCUUAUGUGUCCGUACCGCAAACCGACACAGGUAGGUAGGAAGAGAAUUCUAAGGCCAACGGGAGAAGGGUAGUUAAGGAACUCGGCAAAAUGUCCCCGUAACUUCGGAAUAAGGGGAGGUUUCUACGGAAACCCGCAGAGAAUAGUCCCAGGCAACUGUUUAUCAAAAACACAGCUCUAUGCUAAAUCGAAAGAUGACGUAUAUGGGGUGACGCCUGCCCGGUGCCGGAAGGUUAAGAGGAGGAGUGAGAGCCCUGAAUCGAAGCCCCGGUAAACGGCGGCCGUAACUAUAACGGUCCUAAGGUAGCGAAAUUCCUUGUCAGGUAAGUUCUGACCCGCACGAAUGGCGUAACGAUUUGGGCACUGUCUCAACAGCCCGCCCGGCGAAAUUGUAGUACCGGUGAAGAUGCCGGUUACCCGCGACAAGACGGAAAGACCCCAUGGAGCUUUACUGUAGCCUAAUAUUGGGUUUCGAUGUUGCAUGCACAGGAUAGAUGGGACACUGGGAAGCAGGUGCUUUGGCGCUUGUGGAGUGGCCGUUGGGAUACCAUCCUUGCGAUAUUGGAAUUCUAACCUGCGCCUUUGAAUCAAGGCGGGGGACAUUGUUAGGUGGGCAGUUUGACUGGGGCGGUCGCCUCCUAAAGAGUAACGGAGGCGUUCAAAGGUUCGCUCAGCUUGAACGGAAAUCAAGCAAAAGAGUGCAAACGCAGAAGCGAGCCUAACUGCGAGACUGACGGGUCGAGCAGUAACGAAAGUUGGAGUUAGUGAUCCGGUGGUAUGUGAGUGGAAAUGCCAUCGCUCAACGGA
rnacentral:rRNA from 1 species